GAACUUGUCCAAGGUUAAAAUAAAUCAUCACUGAUUAUCGUGUGGAAGUUUUAACAAACAAUUUUUCCAAUCCUACUAGAUGAAUUUUCAAAACGAAGCAACUUCAAGAAAUAACCAGAUAUCGAUAAAUAUCGAUAAAUAGCUGUUGACAAAUAAUAUUCAUGAUGAAUUUAAAUUACUGUAUAAUCAAAUAUAUCGUUAUGAUAAUAGUGAUUAAAAUUUUUGUUUGAUAUUAACUUAUUCUAUUUUUACUAUUCUCUAUAGAUAUGAGAUUAUUUAUUUUAUGUAACUAGAACAAUUUAUUCCAUAUUUUUUUUGCUAUUAUUACUACGUUUGUGUAAGUUAUCUGAUCAAUUUUCAUACGAUUACAUAAAAUUAAAUAUAUAUUUUCCAA